AAGGGCCUACGGGACGCAGCAGUGGGGAAUAUUGCACAAUGGGGGAAACCCUGAUGCAGCAACGCCGCGUGAGUGAUGACGGCCUUCGGGUCGUAAAGCUCUGUCUUCAGGGACGAUAAUGACGGUACCUGAGGAGGAAGCCACGGCUAACUACGUGCCAGCAGCCGCGGUAAUACGUAGGUGGCGAGCGUUGUCCGGAUUUACUGGGCGUAACGGGAGCGUAGGCGGACUUUUAAGUGAGAUGUGAAAUACUCGGGCUCAACUUGAGUGCCGCAUUUCAAACUGGACGUCUAGAGUGCAGGAGG
rnacentral:rRNA from 1 species